GAGUGAUUAUCCUGAGAUUGAUUUGCAUUCACAGCAUUGUCUGGGAAUGUCUUUUGUUGUAAAUGAUGAUAGACAAUUGUAGUCUGAUCUGGAAGGAUGUCCGUUCGAAGUUUAUAUGAUGGGUUGGAAUGUGGAGAAAUGUCAAUAAGCAGGGAAGUAAAAUGCGAGCCAAUGUUGUCCUGUUUGAGAACGAGGCUGUGAAUUUGCAAUAAACCCGCAUGGAAAACUGAUUCCAGUCGUAAGAAGCAUAUUGACAUAGGCCCGCAUUACAGUUUCACCUUGAGCCUUGGAAAAAUCUAGCUUCAAAGGAUUUCCCAUUACAGGUAUACCAUCUGCAUAUAAACAUAUGCUACGUAUUCCACAGUUUAAAAAAUUGAAAGGAUUUUCACUAUAAUUUCCCGACAAAGCAUUAGAUUUUACAAAGGCUACAACUACACGAUUUGGUUUUUUACCGGAAAAUAUACUUUCCCAGUUAAAUGAAGUACUACCCUGGGCAAUACUUUGCACUCUACACUCAGUUCGAUUAAAGGGAUAUUUUGCAUUGGUACUUUUUAAUAGUUCGGAAUGACCAAUAAUAAUUGCUGGGUUUAGUCUAACCUUUUUAACCAACAAAUAAGCAUCCAAAAUGUCUAUCUUAUAAUUUGGUGAACUUUCACCUGAACAAAGGCUAAAAGCAGGUUGAGAUCUAUACAUCUUCAAUUUAACAUCAGUUUGAUUUAAUAGAUAUCUCGACAUAGAAAAUAAGUCAUGAUAUAUUGGUCCUUGUAAGUCUAGAGUUUUAGAUUCUGCAAUGUAGAUCGAUCUAAUAAAAAGCCCAUUAUUCCCGCCUGAUGCAGAUGGAUCAUCCGGAUGAUCAUUAUCAUCUUUAUAAAACAACUGCGAUGAAAGUUGAGAUGAUUUAGCAUCCUGACCAUAAUUCAAUAAUGUCUGGAACAUAGCGCAAUAAGGA